AAACUUACCUGGCUGAGGGACUCUCGCGAACAUCAAUGCGGGAACCCCAUAGUGAGGCCCUCGCAUUGCACUUUGGCUUGGGCUGACCUGUGUGGCAGCUUCUCAUUGAGGUUAGCUAACAGCUAAAUUUUUGUGUGUGGAGCUGCGUUCGAUCAAUCGCACA
rfam:Heligmosomoides polygyrus genome assembly, scaffold: HPBE_scaffold0002760